GACGAACGCUGGCGGCGUGCUUAACACAUGCAAGUCGAACGGAAAGGCCCUGCUUUUGUGGGGUGCUCGAGUGGCGAACGGGUGAGUAACACGUGAGUAACCUGCCCUUGACUUUGGGAUAACUUCAGGAAACUGGGGCUAAUACCGGAUAGGAGCUCCCGCUGCAUGGUGGGGGUUGGAAAGUUUCGGCGGUUGGGGAUGGAUUCGCGGCUUAUCAGCUUGUUGGUGGGGUAGUGGCUUACCAAGGCUUUGACGGGUAGCCGGCCUGAGAGGGUGACCGGCCACAUUGGGACUGAGAUACGGCCCAGACUCCUACGGGAGGCAGCAGUGGGGAAUAUUGCACAAUGGGCGGAAGCCUGAUGCAGCAACGCCGCGUGCGGGAUGACGGCCUUCGGGUUGUAAACCGCUUUCGCCUGUGACGAAGCGUGAGUGACGGUAAUGGGUAAAGAAGCACCGGCUAACUACGUG
rnacentral:rRNA from 1 species